rnacentral:rRNA from 1 species
UGCCUUACACAUGCAAGUCGAACGGCAGCACGGGAGCAAUCCUGGUGGCGAGUGGCGAACGGGUGAGUAAUAUAUCGGAACGUGCCCAGUCGUGGGGGGAUAACGUAGCGAAAGCUACGCUAAUACCGCAUACGAUCUAUGGAUGAAANCGGGGAUCGCAAGACCUCGCGCGAUUGGAGCGGCCGAUAUCAGAUUAGGUAGUUGGUGAGGUAAAGGCUCACCAAGCCGACGAUCUGUAGCUGGUCUGAGAGGACGACCAGCCACACUGGGACUGAGACACGGCCCAGACUCCUACGGGAGGCAGCAGUGGGGAAUUUUGGACAAUGGGCGCAAGCCUGAUCCAGCAAUGCCGCGUGCAGGAUGAAGGCCUUCGGGUUGUAAACUGCUUUUGUACGGAACGAAACGGUGAGCUCUAAUACAGUUUGCUAAUGACGGUACCGUAAGAAUAAGCACCGGCUAACUACGUG